AUGAAGCCCGAAGCCCGAAAGCCCGGCACGAACGCUAUUUUUCAGUUGAAGCCCAAGCCCGGCCCGAACUAUCUUUCGGGCUGCAAAACAAGGUCCGAACCCGGCCCGAAUGUCAAGCCCGGCCCGGGUUUUUUGGGCCGGGCUCGGGCCGGAUCGUCGGGCCGGGCUGUCCAUGACCGGGUUUACUCCAGACCGAUGGACACGCCUGCUCGCCGCUCCUCGGGGCCAGCCCCUCCCGCCGCGCCGGAUCACGCAUCGGCUUGGGGACCCCUCAGGGAUGCCGCCCCACACCCAUCUGAUGCCAGCACCCCUCCCGCCAUGCUGCCCUUCUGCUCCGCCGCGCCCACCCCAUGCUCCCCCCUCUGCCCAGUGACCGCCGGCGCGUGGGCGCUGCGGAGGGUCGAGGCCGGCGCGCUCAGGUCCUUCCCCGCCGACCCGCUCGUCACGCAGGCGGUGCCCGACCGCUCGCUCUUCUCCGACUCCGCCAUCUUCUCCCCUACGCCGGCGCGCCCGACGACAUCGUGCCGGGGUUGCCUCGGCCGCCGAGCUGCCCGACCCUCUCUGGCGCGCCGGGGUCGACCCGCCGUUGAUGCCCGUCUCCGCCGUCGACCUGGCCGCGGACGCUGUGGUCGGUGCGGUCACCGACGAUGCCGCGCAGCAGGCCUGAUGGACGCGGAGAUGCCCACCACAUUCCCGGCCGACGCGACCGGCGUCGAGGAGUCCGUGGCCAGGUUCAUCGACAAGCUCAGCAAGCAGAUAUUCCAGGCGGAGGACGCUCUCACCGAAGGCUACGACAAGCUCAGGCUGUCGGCGUACGACGCUCUCGGGGCCUACAGGAAGGCGAUAAGGGGAGUCGCUGGUAGCCUCACGUCCUCGGUGGCAGCCACCAAGAAGCAGGCCGCUGGUGGGGUCCCGGACGUUUCCGGUGGAUUUCAGGAUAAGGUGGCCGGAGCUGCCACGUCGUCCCUCGUAUACUACUAUGGCUCGGCCAAGUCGUCGUUGCCACCAAAUGUUAAAGAUUUGCUGAACUCAUCCGAGGAGAAAGCUAACAUAGUAUUGCCACCAAUUGGAAGUGCCCUCCAACAGGUAUACAUUAUCAUAGAAGGCAUGAAAUUUUGGCUGAUUGGCUGCAUGUCGCUUCGGAUUUGGAUGAGAGGAAGCCACCCAGAAAAUGGCCAGAAGGAAGCACCAUAUGUGCAGUGCUUUGGCCACAUAAAAGGAAGGAGCCCACCGUCGGCAUCUCCCAUGGCCGAGAAGACCGAGGACCCAGCGCCCUCAAGUACGAUGGAGUUCUUUCUGUUGCGACUUAUGGACAAGGACUCGGCGGAUGAUUCCUCCUUGACUUUCUACCAGCUGCGCCCUGACUGCGUUCACAGCGUCCCCACGCCGUGUUCAAGACCAAGUUCUAACCCACAUAUCCAAUCUCCCUCCAUGGAUCUCGCCUCUCAUUGA
rnacentral:rRNA from 1 species